rnacentral:rRNA from 1 species
AUACGGAGGGUGCAAGCGUUAUCCGGAAUCAUUGGGUUUAAAGGGUCCGCAGGCGGGAAAAUAAGUCAGUGGCGAAAGCCUACAGCUCAACUGUAGAACUGCCAUUGAUACUGUUUUUCUUGAGUAUAGAUGAAGUGGGCGGAAUAUAUCAUGUAGCGGUGAAAUGCAUAGAUAUGAUAUAGAACACCGAUUGCGAAGGCAGCUCACUAAACUAUUACUGACGCUCAGGGACGAAAGCGUGGGGAGCGAACAGGAUUAGAAACCCCAGUAGUCC